rnacentral:rRNA from 1 species
GUCCAUGCCGUAAACGUUGGGCACUAGGUGUGGGGGACAUUCCACGUUUUUCCGCGCCGUAGCUAACGCAUUAAGUGCCCCGCCUGGGGAGUACGGCCGCAAGGCUAAAACUCAAAGGAAUUGACGGGGGCCCGCACAAGCGGCGGAGCAUGCGGAUUAAUUCGAUGCAACGCGAAGAACCUUACCAAGGCUUGACAUGUGCCAGACCGCCGUGGAAACACGGUUUCCCCUUUGGGGCUGGUUCACAGGUGGUGCAUGGUUGUCGU